rnacentral:rRNA from 1 species
UACGUAGGGAGCGAGCGUUGUCCGGAUUCAUUGGGCGUAAAGAGCUCGUAGGCGGCUUGGCAAGUCGGGUGUGAAAACUCCAGGCUCAACCUGGAGACGCCACCCGAUACUGCCAUGGCUAGAGUCCGGUAGGGGACCACGGAAUUCCUGGUGUAGCGGUGAAAUGCGCAGAUAUCAGGAGGAACACCGGUGGCGAAGGCGGUUCUCUGGGCCUGUUCCGACGCUGAGGAGCGAAAGCGUGGGGAGCGAACGGG